rnacentral:rRNA from 1 species
GCCCUACGGGGGAAAAAUUUAUUGCUAUUAGAUGAGCCUAUAUUAGAUUAGCUAGUUGGUGGAGUAAUAGCCUACCAAGGCAAUGAUCUAUAGCUGAUCUGAGGGGAUGAUCAGCCACACUGGAACUGGGAUACGGUCCAGACUCCUACGGGAGGCAGCAGUGGGGAAUAUUGGACAAUGGGCGAAAGCCUGAUCCAGCCAUGCCGCAUGAGUGAAGAAGGCCUUUGGGUUGUAAAGCUCUUUUAGUGAGGAAGAUAAUGACGGUACUCACAGAAGAAGUCCUGGCUAACUCCGUGCCAGCAGCCGCGGUAAUACGGAGAGGGCUAGCGUUAUUCGGAAUUAUUGGGCGUAAAGGGCGCGUAGGCGGAUUAGUAAGUUAAAAGUGAAAUCCCAAGGCUCAACCUUGGAAUUGCUUUUAAAACUGCUAAUCUAGAGAUUGAAAGAGGAUAGAGGAAUUCCUAGUGUAGAGGUGAAAUUCGUAAAUAUUAGGAGGAACACCAGUGGCGAAGGCGUCUAUCUGGUUCAAAUCUGACGCUGAGGCGCGAAGGCGUGGGGAGCAAACAGGAUUAGAUACCCUGGUAGUCCACGCUGUAAACGAUGAAUGUUAAAUAUGGGAAGUUUUACUUUCUGUAUUACAGCUAACGCGUUAAACAUUCCGCCUGGGGACUACGGUCGCAAGAUUAAAACUCAAAGGAAUUGACGGGGACCCGCACAAGCGGUGGAGCAUGUGGUUUAAUUCGAUGCAACGCGAAAAACCUUACCACUCCUUGACAUGGAAAUUAUACCUAUUCGAAGGGAUA